CAAGCUAAACUGAAUCGUAGACAUGCUAAAUGGGUUGAAUUCAUUGAGACUUUCCCUUAUGUCAUUAAACACAAGAAGGGAAAAGAAAAUGUUAUUGCUGAUGCAUUGUCUCGUCGCUAUACUAUGCUUUCACAACUUGACUUCAAAAUAUUUGGUUUAGAGACCAUCAAAGAUCAAUAUGUGCAUGAUGCUUAUUUUAAAGAUGUAAUGCAGAAUUGUAAAGAAGGAAGACUGUGGAACAAGUUUGUCGUUAACGAUGGAUUUGUGUUUCGUGCUAACAAGCUAUGCAUUCCAGCUAGCUCCGUUCGUCUUUUGUUGUUGCAGGAGGCGCAUGGAGGAGGAUUAAUGGGACACUUUGGCGUGAAGAAGACGGAGGACGUACUUGCUACACAUUUCUUUUGGCCAAAGAUGAGACGGGAUGUUGAGCGUUUUAUUGCUCGAUGCACUACAUGUCAAAAAGCUAAGUCACGACUCAAUCCUCAUGGUUUAUAUAUGCCUUUGCCUGUACCUAGUGUUCCUUGGGAGGAUAUAUCUAUGGACUUUGUUUUAGGUUUACCUCGAACAAAGAAGGGGAGGGAUAGCAUAUUUGUUGUCGUGGAUAGAUUCUCGAAAAUGGCACACUUUAUACCAUAUCAUAAAAGCGAUGAUGCUGUUAAUGUUGCUGAUUUGUUCUUUCGUGAAAUUAUUCGCUUGCAUGGUGUGCCAAAUACUAUUGUUUCAGAUCGUGAUACUAAAUUUCUUAGCCACUUUUGGAGAUGUUUAUGGGCUAAGUUGGGGACUAAACUGCUUUUUAGUACUACUUGUCACCCCCAAACUGAUGGACAAACUGAAGUAGUCAAUAGAACGUUGUCUACUAUGCUUAGGGCUGUUUUGAAGAAUAAUAAGAAAAUGUGGGAGGAAUGCUUGCCUCAUAUUGAAUUUGCUUAUAAUCGUUCAUUGCAUUCUACUACUAAGAUGUGCCCUUUUCAAGUUGUGUAUGGUUUCCUACCUCGUGCACCUAUUGAUUUGUUGCCUCUUCCAUCUUCGGAGAAGGUUAAUUUUGAUGCUAAA
rnacentral:rRNA from 1 species